rnacentral:tRNA from 1 species
GGGAAUGUAGCUCAGUUUUGGAGCUUUUGCCUUGCAUGUGAAAAACCCCAGGUUCAAUUCCUAGCACCA